GCCUGGCUAGCUAAGUCAAUAGAGCAUGAGACUGUUAAUCUCAGGGUCGUGGGUCUGAGCCCCACAUUGGGUG
rnacentral:tRNA from 1 species